rnacentral:rRNA from 1 species
GACCAGACUCCUACGGGAGGCAGCAGUGGGGAAUAUUGCACAAUGGGGGAAACCCUGAUGCAGCGACGCCGCGUGAGUGAAGAAGUUUUUCGGUAUGUAAAGCUCUUUCAGCAGGGAAGAAAAUGACGGUACCUGACUAAGAAGCCCCGGCUAACUACGUGCCAGCAGCCGCGGUAAUACGUAGGGGGCAAGCGUUAUCCGGAUUUACUGGGUGUAAAGGGAGCGUAGACGGCAUGGCAAGUCAGAUGUGAAAGCCCGGGGCUCAACCCCGGGACUGCACUUGAAACUGUCAGGCUGGAGUGCAGGAGAGGUAAGUGGAAUUCCUAGUGUAGCGGUGAAAUGCGUAGAUAUUAGGAGGAACACCAGUGGCGAAGGCGGCUUACUGGACUGUAACUGACGUUGAGGCUCGAAAGCGUGGGGAGCAAACAGGAUUAGAUACCCCGGUAGAC